CUACGGGGCGCUGCAGUGGGGAAUAUUGGACAAUGGGGGAAACCCUGAUCCAGCAAUGCCGCGUGUGUGAAGAAGGCCUGCGGGUUGUAAAGCACUUUCGGUUGGGAGGACUGCUUCUAGCACUAAUAUUGUUGGAAGUUGACGUUACCUUCAGAAGAAGCACCGGCUAACUCCGUGCCAGCAGCCGCGGUAAUACGAAGGGUGCAAGCGUUAAUCGGAAUUACUGGGCGUAAAGCGCGCGUAGGCGGCUAGAUCAGUCGGGUGUGAAAGCCCCGGGCUUAACCUGGGAACUGCAUCCGAUACUGUCUAGCUUGAGUACAGGAGAGGAGAGUGGAAUUCCACAUGUAGCGGUGAAAUGCGUAGAUAUGUGGAGGAACACCAAUGGCGAAGGCAGCUCUCUGGCCUGAUACUGACGCUGAGGUGCGAAAGCGUGGGGAGCAAACAGGAUUAGAUACCCGGGUAGUC
rnacentral:rRNA from 1 species